rnacentral:rRNA from 1 species
UACGAAGGGUGCAAGCGUUAAUCGGAAUUACUGGGCGUAAAGGGUGCGUAGGCGGUUGUUUAAGUCUGUCGUGAAAUCCCCGGGCUCAACCUGGGAAUGGCGAUGGAUACUGGGCAGCUAGAGUGUGUCAGAGGAUGGUGGAAUUCCCGGUGUAGCGGUGAAAUGCGUAGAGAUCGGGAGGAACAUCAGUGGCGAAGGCGAGUCUCUGGGCUGAUACCGACGCUGAGGCGCGAAAGCCAGGGGAGCAAACGGG